rnacentral:rRNA from 1 species
UACGGAGGGGGCCAGCGUUGUUCGGAAUUAUUGGGCGUAAAGGGCGCGUAGGCGGCCAUUCAAGUCGGACGUGAAAUCCCUCAGCUUAACUGGGGAACUGCGUGUGAGACUGGCAGGCUUGAGUGCAGGAGAGGAACGCGGAAUUCCAGGUGUAGCGGUGAAAUGCGUAGAUAUCUGGAGGAACACCGGUGGCGAAGGCGGCGUUCUGGACUGUAUCUGACACUGAGGAACGAAAGCCAGGGGAGCAAACGGG